rnacentral:lncRNA from 1 species
UAGAAGUCAAGAAAUUGUCCCACUCUAUUGAGCCAUUCAGUAGGGUCGUCGUCGCUAAAUGAGAAAAACUCGAGUCGGGUCAAUCUUAGGAAGGUCGGUACCCUACAUUUUUCAUGUUCUACACCUUCGUAAGGUCUAGGCAAAGCGGUCCCGGUUGGCUAUGGUGAUUGCUGUUGUACCCAUAUCGGCUAGAGGCGAUCGAGUGCGAGAGUCUGUUGAAAUUUUUUUCCAGCAUCCACAUUUGCUCUGUUAGCCCAAGCUCCAUGUGGCAAAAACUGUCUUACAAACCGCCGAAUCCAGCUUCCAAGCUCUCGAUGCACUCCUUGUCGGUAGCCAUAACAACUGUGCUCUGAUACCAGAUGUUGGUCCUAGUUAGAGGCACAAUAUAACAGUAAAAAAUUUCUCCUUUUGACGAGAAAGACAAGUGAGAGUUCUGCAAAAAUCUAUGCUUUCAUUCAUGAUUUUGAAGUGCUUAAAUAGAAAAGAUUACAACUGUAUUUUCUUUCUAUGCUUCUAGAUAAUUAUCAGAAAUGAUAAAGAAUAAAAACAAAAAGAGAUACUGGGAUUUAUGGAAGAGUAUAUCGUGGAGUCGUGGGAUUCACUGAGGAUUUUUUGUUGAUUAAUUCUUUUGCUGGUAGUGGGUAGUUACUGAAGAUUCCUGGGAUUCUUGAUAGGCACCCGACUAGAUCUUCUGGAUGGGGAUUUAUCAAAAUAAGAAUAAUAGGUUAAAAAGAAGAGAAUUAAGUGAAGAGAAGACAAUAGGAAGAAUAGUAGUACUUGAGCAUGAUUUGUGAGAGCAAUAUGAGACUGGAGACAUAAAUGCAAGGGAC